rfam:Trichobilharzia regenti genome assembly, scaffold: TRE_scaffold0039843
AGCCUUCUGUAUCCGUGCUGAGAUUUCGUCAGAGAUCAACCCGUUAGGGCUGAUGCAACUUCCCAAAUAAGUGAAGCG